GAGAGUUUGAUUCUGGCUCAGAGUGAACGCUGGCGGCGUGCCUAAUACAUGCAAGUCGAACGGAGAUUAAAUAGCUUGCUAUUUAAUCUUAGUGGCGCACGGGUGAGUAAUGUAUAGUUAAUCUGCCCCAUAGUGGAGGACAACAGUUAGAAAUGACUGCUAAUACUCCAUACUCCUUCUUAUCAUAAGUUAAGUCGGGAAAGUUUUUCGCUAUGGGAUGAGACUAUAUCGUAUCAGUUAGUUGGUAAGGUAAUGGCUUACCAAGGCUAUGACGCGUAACUGGUCUGAGAGGAUGAUCAGUCACAUUGGAACUGAGACACGGUCCAAACUCCUACGGGAGGCAGCAGUAGGGAAUAUUGCGCAAUGGGGGAAACCCUGACGCAGCAACGCCGCGUGGAGGAUGACACUUUUCGGAGCGUAAACUCCUUUUGUUAGGGAAGAAUAAUGACGGUACCUAACGAAUAAGCACCGGCUAACUCCGUGCCAGCAGCCGCGGUAAUACGGAGGGUGCAAGCGUUACUCGGAAUCACUGGGCGUAAAGGACGCGUAGGCGGAUUAUCAAGUCUCUUGUGAAAUCUAGUGGCUUAACCACUAAACUGCUUGGGAAACUGAUAAUCUAGAGUAAGGGAGAGGCAGAUGGAAUUCUUGGUGUAGGGGUAAAAUCCGUAGAGAUCAAGAAGAAUACUUAUUGCGAAGGCGAUCUGCUAGAACUUAACUGACGCUAAUGCGUGAAAGCGUGGGGAGCAAACAGGAUUAGAUACCCUGGUAGUCCACGCCCUAAACGAUGUAUACUGGUUGUUGCUAUGCUAGUCAUGGCAGUAAUCCACCUAACGGAUUAAGUAUACCGCCUGGGGAGUACGGUCGCAAGAUUAAAACUCAAAGGAAUAGACGGGGACCCGCACAAGCGGUGGAGCAUGUGGUUUAAUUCGAAGAUACGCGAAGAACCUUACCCGGACUUGAUAUCUAACAAAUCAUCUAGAGAUAGAAGAGUGUCUGCUUGCAGAAAUGUUAAGACAGGUGCUGCACGGCUGUCGUCAGCUCGUGUCGUGAGAUGUUGGGUUAAGUCCCGCAACGAGCGCAACCCACGUCAUUAGUUGCUAACAGUUUAGCUGAGCACUCUAAUGAGACUGCCUUCGUAAGGAGGAGGAAGGUGUGGACGACGUCAAGUCAUCAUGGCCCUUAUGUCCAGGGCGACACACGUGCUACAAUGGCAUAUACAAUGAGAUGCAAUAUCGCGAGAUGGAGCGAAUCUAUAAAAUAUGUCCCAGUUCGGAUUGGAGUCUGCAACUCGACUCCAUGAAGUCGGAAUCGCUAGUAAUCGUAGAUCAGCCAUGCUACGGUGAAUACGUUCCCGGGUCUUGUACUCACCGCCCGUCACACCAUGGGAGUUGAUUUCACUCGAAGUCGGAAUGCUAAACUAGCUACCGCCCACAGUGGAAUCAGCGACUGGGGUGAAGUCGUAACAAGGUAACCGUAGGAGAACCUGCGGYUKGAWCACCUCCUUC
rnacentral:rRNA from 1 species